GGAAUCUUGCGCAAUGGGCGAAAGCCUGACGCAGCAACGCCGCGUGCGGGAAGAAGGCUUUCGGGCUGUAAACCGCUUUCAGCAGGAACGAAAAUGACGGUACCUGCAGAAGAAGGAGCGGCCAACUAUGUGCCAGCAGCCGCGGUGAUACAUAGGCUUCAAGCGUUGUCCGGAUUUAUUGGGCGUAAAGAGUUCGUAGGCGGUCGAGUAAGUCGGGUGUGAAAAUUCUGGGCUCAACCCAGAGACGCCACCCGAUACUGCUUAACUUGAGUUCGAUAGGGGAGUGGGGAAUUCCUAGUGUAGCGGUGAAAUGCGCAGAUAUUAGGAGGAACACCGGUGGCGAAGGCGCCACUCUGGAUCGACACUGACGCUGAGGAACGAAAGCAUGGGUAGCAAACAGGAUUAGAUACCCUGGUAGUCCAUGCGGUAGACGGUGGGCACUAGGUGUGGGUUUCUAUUAACGAAAUCCGCGCCGUCGCUAACGCAUUAAGUGCCCCGCCUGGGGAGUACGGUCGCAAGACUAAAACUCAAAGGAAUUGACGG
rnacentral:rRNA from 1 species